rnacentral:rRNA from 1 species
GACGAACGCUGGCGGCGUGCCUAAUACAUGCAAGUCGAGCGAAGAUUUUCUGGUGCUUGCGCCGGCAAAACUUAGCGGCGAACGGGUGAGUAACACGUAAAGAACCUGCCUUAUAGACUGAGACAACGAUUGGAAACGAUAACAACUACCGGAUAACAGCAUUAACUGCAUGGUUGAUGUUUGAAAGUUGGUUUUGCUAACACUAUGAGAUGGCUUUGCGGUGCAUUAGCUAGUUGGUGGGGUAAAGGCCUACCAAGGCGACGAUGGAUAACCGACGGGAGUGGGGGAUAGGCGACAUGGGAGGGGGACCACGGCCAAGGCGCCUAAGGGAGGCAGCAGAAGGGAAUGUGCCGCAAUGGGGGAAAGCCUGACGGAGUAACGCCGCGUGAGUGAAGAAGGAUUUCGGUUCGUAAAGCUCUGUUGUUAGGUAAGAAUGGUUGUGUAGUAAGUAGACGCGGGAGAGACGGUACCUAAUCAGGAAGCCACGGCUAACUACGUG